UAACUUGACAACUAUUCUUCGUGAAAGCUAUGAUUGGGUUAAUGGUCUUCAGCAAACUUUUGCAAACAAAGUGAUACAAAGUCCCCGAAUGAUUAAAGCUGUAAGAAAGAAAGUUGAAAAAGAAUUAAGAAAGUCAAAAAAGACAAAAUUUCUGUCAGAAAAGAAGGCAGAGAAAAUAGUCAAUGAUAUACAAAAGG